GUUUGUAUUGGAUGAGUUAAGUAUAAACCCCUUUACAAGUAUCAAUUGGAGGGCAAGUCUGGUGCCAGCAGCCGCGGUAAUUCCAGCUCCAAUAGCGUAUAUUAAAGUUGUUGCAGUUAAAAAGCUCGUAGUUGGAUUUCUGUUAAUAAUUUAUAUAAAAUAUUUUGAUGAAUAUUUAUAUAAUAUUAACAUAAUUCAUAUUACUAUAUAUUUUAGUAUAUGAAAUUUUA
rnacentral:rRNA from 1 species